rnacentral:rRNA from 1 species
UACGGAGGGGGUUAGCGUUGUUCGGAAUACUGGGCGUAAAGCGUACGUAGGCGGAUCGGAAAGUAUGGGGUGAAAUCCCAGGGCUCAACCCUGGAACUGCCUCAUAAACUAUCGGUCUAGAGUUCGAGAGAGGUGAGUGGAAUUCCAAGUGUAGAGGUGAAAUUCGUAGAUAUUAGGAAGAACACCAGUGGCGAAGGCGGCUCACUGGCUCGGUACUGACGCUGAGGUGGCCAAAAGCGUGGGGAGCAAACAGGAUUAGAUACCCGCGUAGUCC